AUUGAACGCUGGCGGCAGGCCUAACACAUGCAAGUCGAGCGGUUGACGGGAGCUUGCUCCCUGAUUCAGCGGCGGACGGGUGAGUAAUGCCUAGGAAUCUGCCUAUUAGUGGGGGACAACGUUUCGAAAGGAACGCUAAUACCGCAUACGUCCUACGGGAGAAAGCAGGGGACCUUCUGGCCUUGCGCUAAUAGAUGAGCCUAGGUCGGAUUAGCUUGUUGGUGAGGUAAUGGCUCACCAAGGCGACGAUCCGUAACUGGUCUGAGAGGAUGAUCAGUCACACUGGAACUGAGACACGGUCCAGACUCCUACGGGAGGCAGCAGUGGGGAAUAUUGGACAAUGGGCGAAAGCCUGAUCCAGCCAUGCCGCGUGUGUGAAGAAGGUCUUCGGAUUGUAAAGCACUUUAAGUUGGGAGGAAGGGUUGUAGAUUAAUACUCUGCAAUUUUGACGUUACCGACAGAAUAAGCACCGGCUAACUCUGUGCCAGCAGCCGCCGCGG
rnacentral:rRNA from 1 species